rnacentral:RNase_P_RNA from 1 species
GCAGGGCAGGGUGCUGGCUAACGGCCAGUCGAGGUGACUCGAAGGACAGUGCAACAGAGAGCAGACCGCCGAUGGGGAGCGAUCCCACAGGCAAGGGUGCAACGGUGCGGUAAGAGCGCACCAGCGUCCGGGGCGAUCCGGGCGGCUAUGUAAACCCCACCCGGAGCAAGGUCAAGCGUGGGACGGCCGGCCCGGCCACACGUCCCCAGGUAGACCGCUCAGAUGGAUGGCCACCCGCCGUUCCCCCGGGACCGGCGACAGAAUCCCGCCUACAGACCGACUCACCGU